UCUUUGCUAGUAUAUCGGUUAGUACACGCGCCUGUCACUAAUCUGUUGUGCGCGCGAAAGCUGGGUUCGACUCCCAGGCAGAGAG